rnacentral:rRNA from 1 species
UACGGGGGGGGCAAGCGUUGUUCGGAAUUAUUGGGCGUAAAGAGCUCGUAGGCGGUUUGUCGCGUCGACUGUGAAAACCCGAGGCUUAACCUCGGGCCUGCAGUCGAUACGGGCAGACUAGAGUUCGGUAGGGGAGACUGGAAUUCCUGGUGUAGCGGUGAAAUGCGCAGAUAUCAGGAGGAACACCGGUGGCGAAGGCGGGUCUCUGGGCCGAUACUGACGCUGAGGAGCGAAAGCGUGGGGAGCGAACAGG